ensembl:lncRNA
CAUUGGUGCACUGCUAGGCAUGGAUUCCUACCACGCAUGUGCCGGUCCCUCCCUUUUCCCGCCGUGCACCAGCCAGCGGCCGAGCAUGAGAGAAAGCCUACAGGAAGUGCUCUACCGGAAUAUCGUCGAACUGCACAGACAAGCACGAGGCGACUCCAUUAGACGCAGAGACUCCACACACAGAAUGUGCUGCAGACAGGGGGCCGUGCUGUUCAAUAUUUAUCUGCUCUUGAGGACCGCGUGCUCUGAGAAGCAGCUGUGGGUGACCGAGGGUGACGGCGUCGUCCUCCCCUGCCUUCUCCCACGUCCCUUUCCCCCUCUGAAUGAGAUGACUGGGUACUGGCUGACCAAAGACACACAUCAGGAGGAGGAGAAGAAGGAGAAUGGCGUGAUAUUCUCCUCAGGAGAAGAGAAGCUGGUGGAGGAACGAGAGCAGCUGGUUCAUUUCUUCGACAAAGGCAAGGAGGAGUUCACACAUCAGUCCCCCUCCUACAUCAACA